CCUUACCUACCCUUGACAUGGCAGAAAUCCUCGAGAGAUUGGGGAGUGCUCGAAAGAGAAUCUGCACACAGGUGCUGCAUGGCUGUCGUCAGCUCGUGUCGUGAGAUGUUGGGUUAAGUCCCGCAACGAGCGCAACCCUUGUCAUUAGUUGCUACGAAAGAGCACUCUAAUGAGACUGCCGGUGACAAACCGGAGGAAGGUGGGGAUGACGUCAAGUCCUCAUGGCCCUUAUGGGUAGGGCUUCACACGUCAUACAAUGGUACAUACAGAGGGCCGCCAACCCGCGAGGGGGAGCUAAUCCCAGAAAGUGUAUCGUAGUCCGGAUUGUAGUCUGCAACUCGACUGCAUGAAGUUGGAAUCGCUAGUAAUCGCGGAUCAGCAUGUCGCGGUGAAUACCUUCCCGGGUCUG
rnacentral:rRNA from 1 species